UCGAGGAUCUUCCGCAAUGGGCGAAAGCCUGACGGAGCGACACCGCGUGCAGGAUGAAGGCCUUCGGGUUGUAAACUGCUGUCACGCUCUAGGAAUCCCCUACGGUAAAUAGUCGUAGGGUUGACUAAAGCGAGAGGAAGCACCGGCUAACUCUGUGCCAGCAGCCGCGGUAAGACAGAGGGUGCAAACGUUGUUCGGAAUCACUGGGCAUAAAGCGCACGUAGGCUGUUUGCUAAGUCUGAUGUGAAAUACCCCCGGCUCAACCGGGGAACUGCAUCUGAUACUGGCAAACUCGAGGAUGGUUGGGGUGAGCGGAACUCCAGGUGGAGCGGUGAAAUGCGUAGAUAUCUGGAGGAACACCGGUGGCGAAGGCGGCUCACUGGACCAUCUCUGACGCUGAGGUGCGAAAGCUAGGGGAGCAAACGGGAUUAGAUACCCCCGUAGUCCCUGAGCGGGCUGGCAAGGCGCAU
rnacentral:rRNA from 1 species